AUUGAACGCUGGCGGCAGGCCUAACACAUGCAAGUCGAGCGGAUGACGGGAGCUUGCUCCUUGAUUCAGCGGCGGACGGGUGAGUAAUGCCUAGGGAUCUGCCUGGUAGUGGGGGACAACGUUUCGAAAGGAACGCUAAUACCGCAUACGUCCUACGGGAGAAAGCAGGGGACCUUCGGGCCUUGCGCUAUCAGAUGAGCCUAGGUCGGAUUAGCUGGUUGGUGGGGUAAUGGCUCACCAAGGCGACGAUCCGUAACUGGUCUGAGAGGAUGAUCAGUCACACUGGAACUGAGACACGGUCCAGACUCCUACGGGAGGCAGCAGUGGGGAAUAUUGGACAAUGGGCGAAAGCCUGAUCCAGCCAUGCCGCGUGUGUGAAGAAGGUCUUCGGAUUGUAAAGCACUUUAAGUUGGGAGGAAGGGCAGUAAGCUAAUACCUUGCUGUUUUGACGUUACCGACAGAAUAAGCACCGGCUAACUCUGUGCCAGCCGCCGCAGUAAAAC
rnacentral:rRNA from 1 species